GUGCUUGCUUCGGCAGCACAUAUACUAAAAUUGGAAUGAUACAGAGAAGAUUAGCAUGGCCCCUGCUCAAGGAUGACACACAAAUUCGUGAAGCGUUCCAUAUUUUU
ensembl:snRNA U6 U6 spliceosomal RNA